rnacentral:rRNA from 1 species
GACGAACGCUGGCGGCGUGCUUAACACAUGCAAGUCGAGCGGUAAGGCCUUUCGGGGUACACGAGCGGCGAACGGGUGAGUAACACGUGAGCAAUCUGCCCUUCACUCUGGGAUAACCCCCGGAAACGGGAGCUAAUACCGGAUACGACCACUACGUGCAUGCGUUGGUGGUGGAAAGUUCUGGCGGUGGAGGAUGAGCUCGCGGCCUAUCAGCUUGUUGGUGGGGUAAUGGCCCACCAAGGCUUCGACGGGUAGCCGGCCUGAGAGGGUGACCGGCCACACUGGGACUGAGACACGGCCCAGACUCCUACGGGAGGCAGCAGUGGGGAAUAUUGGACAAUGGGCGAAAGCCUGAUCCAGCAACGCCGCGUGAGGGAUGACGGCCUUCGGGUUGUAAACCUCUUUCAGCGCAGACGAAGCGAAAGUGACGGUAUGCGCAGAAGAAGCACCGGCCAACUACGUGCCAGCCGCCGCGGUAAAAC